rnacentral:rRNA from 1 species
AUGUCUGACGAUGACCGCGCCAGGUGGCGCCUCGAGCCGUCUGGUCAAUUCUCCACCAAAUCUCUCUAUCUGGCCAUCGCCCCCUCGCUCGGCCAUGAGGCUCUUUCCUCCAUUUGGGAGAUUCGCCUCCCCCUGAAAAUUAGGAUCUUCCUAUGGCAGUGGAUUCGCGGCCGCCUUCCUUCCGACGUUGAGUUUUUGAAGCGCAAUGGCCCUGGUGAUGGGCGUUGCCCGCUCUGUGGGCCUGAAGAAGAUUUGAACCAUAUCUUCUUCACCUACGUGUCUGCGCAGUUCCUUUGGAGCUGUUUCCGCGAGAUUGUGGGUGGAAGCUGGGUUCAUACCAACUUCCCCGCUCUCUUUGUCGAACUCCAGGCAAUCCCCCCCGCGUUACGCCACAUUAGGUGGCUGACCAUUGGGGUCCUUGCCUGGACGCUGUGGACUGUUAGGAAUAAACUUGUGAUUCGGCGUAUCCCUCUUUGUCGCGCUACUGACGCUUUGUUCAAAUGGUCUGGUUACUUGCAGCUUUUGCGGCCGCUUAGCCGCCCCAGGGAGAGAGACGCCAUCACCUCCAUCAUCACACAGCUUCGCGCGAUGGCUCUCCGGAUGGCUCCACCGCUCCCACCUCCACCACCUGAGCCAGAUUAG